AUGAUGACUCUUGGCAACGGAUAUCUCGGCUCUUGCAUCGAUGAAGAACGUAGUGAAAUGUGAUACCUGGUGUGAAUUGCAGAAUCCCGUGAACCAUCGAAUCUUUGAAUGCAAGUUGCGCCCGAGGCCACCCGGCCGAGGGCACGCCUGCCUGGGCAUCAUGC
rnacentral:rRNA from 1 species